CUCACUGAUGACAAAAAAAAUUUUUUUGUUAGGUUAGAAAAAAAUCGUAGUUCAUCUCAGAAUCUCUUCUUCCCCACGAUUGUUCUUGCUCUCUCCCUCUCCAAAGUCAGUUGAAAUAGCAUAUCAGCUCACCGAUGACCAUAUUUCUGAAUUCAAGGAAGCCUACAGUCUCUUCGAUAAAGAUAUAGAUGGACAACAUUUCGAUUGAAUGUGAAGCAACAAAAUGCCUUUCUAACGACGUUUUUAGAACUCGGCCUCGGUAUGGAAUCAAAUGUGCACAGCGUUGUCCAUUAAGGCUUGCCUUGAUCUGCGGGUCGUGGAAGUUGCUACUUUCCAAGGAAACGACUGUUUGUACAUUACUUUCCCUUCAAAGGCUUUUGUACUGCCAAUUGAUGCAUACAAUGGAACAAUUCUCUAGCAAAAGAAUGUUGGUCCAUUAAGUUCUGCAGACUUUGCUCCUAACAGUUGAUUCCAUUGAUGAAGUUGAUUCCAUUGGUUGGAUCUCUUUUGGUUUACUAGAUGGGCUAUUUUACUCAUUUUCUCCUUGGGAUUCUCAAAACAUUCUCUAAAUCAGACAAGCAAGAUUAUGUAAUCCAAAGAUGGGUAGUCCACUUCAGUGCCAUAAUACAAGUCAAAAACUUGCAUCAAGCUAUUCUCUGCCAGAACCCAAACAUAAUGACAUCUACAUAGGUAAUCUCAGGCUUGUCAAUAUUUCAUAAGAAAAACAGAUUAUUUCCAAAAACUAUCUUUUAUGAUGUUAAAAAAAUUGCAUGAAAUGAGCGGGAAAUUGUACAAUUGUGAGGGUCUUCAAUCAAGACAUACUACUGGGAUUAAGGUUGAGGAUGGUUUCCUAACAAGUUCAGUACCGCCAAGAUGUUCUACCAGCUUUAGCUUCAGCAAUGGAUGAUUUCCAGAACCCUCGUGUACAGGCACACAUGUUGCCUCAGCACUGCUCAAUUGUAGUUAGAAUUGUACCCCGAACAUUUUGACACCAUAUUUAGACUGGUUGGUCAGCAAACUGCUUAUACUUUAGAAGGUAUUUCUGAAUACAGAUUGGUAAACAAAUGGUACAAGAAGGUGCCUUGACAGCCUUAACAUCAGUUGCUGAUUCAUUUCAGGUGAUUUUGACAGUUGGUUUGUGCAUUACUUAUUGUGCUACUGUGUUUUGUGAUUGUCUUGCUAGGAAUGGCACUACUUCUAGUUGCUGCUUUUUUGAGUUAUUUUCCAUUCUCUAUAGUUCUAUUUUUAUAUACCGAUGAAUGCUGUAAAUGAUUCACUGAUUGCUCAUAUGUGAUGAAGAUCAAAUGAAGGGAAAUGUAAGAUUGAUAUUGAGAUUU